rnacentral:rRNA from 1 species
UAGGGAAUUUUGNACAAUGGGCGCAAGNCUGAUCCAGCCAUGCCGCGUGCNGGAUGAAGGUCUUCGGAUCGUAAAACUCUGUUGUUAGAGAAGAACACGAGUGAGAGUAACUGUUCAUUCGAUGACGGUAUCUAACCAGCAAGUCACGGCUAACUACGUG